GUCUUGAACUCAGCUCGACAGAAGAGAGAGACCUGGAGCAGGUAAGAAGACAACUGUCUCAGCUAAACCCAACCAGUUGAAUAUUCUCGGAUCAAUAAUGAUUGUGUAUUGUAUAUGAAGUACAUCAAGAUACAACCCUUAGUCAGCAAAGACAGACAAACAGAUCAGUAACUAAAUAACUGCAUACUAUGUUAGAAGGUAAUAAUAAAACAUCUGGCACAAUGGCACGCUCCUUUAAUCCCAGCUCAGGGGAGGCAGAAAUAGGCAUAUCUCUAUGAGUUCAAGGCC
rnacentral:lncRNA from 1 species